rnacentral:rRNA from 1 species
GAUGAACGCUGGCGGCGUGCCUAAUACAUGCAAGUCGAACGCACAGCAAAAGGUGCUUGCACCUUUCAAGUGAGUGGCGAACGGGUGAGUAACACGUGGACAACCUGCCUCAAGGCUGGGGAUAACAUUUGGAAACAGAUGCUAAUGCCGAAUAAAACUCAGUGUCGCAUGACACAAAGUUAAAAGGCGCUUUGGCGUCACCUAGAGAUGGAUCCGCGGUG